rnacentral:rRNA from 1 species
CGCUAUCACUCCUACGGGGAGGCAGCAGUAGGGAAUCUUCCACAAUGGGCGCAAGCCUGAUGGAGCAACACCGCGUGAGUGAAGAAGGGUUUCGGCUCGUAAAGCUCUGUUGUUAAAGAAGACCACGUAUGAGAGUAACUGUUCAUACGUUGACGGUAUUUAACCAGAAAGUCACGGCUAACUACGUGCCAGCAGCCGCGGUAAUACGUAGGUGGCAAGCGUUAUCCGGAUUUAUUGGGCGUAAAGAGAGUGCAGGCGGUUCUCUAAGUCUGAUGUGAAAGCCUUCGGCUUAACCGGAGAAGUGCAUCGGAAACUGGAUAACUUGAGUGCAGAAGAGGGUAGUGGAACUCCAUGUGUAGCGGUGGAAUGCGUAGAUAUAUGGAAGAACACCAGUGGCGAAGGCGGCUACCUGGUCUGCAACUGACGCUGAGACUCGAAAGCAUGGGUAGCGAACAGGAUUAGAUACCCUGGUAG